CAGCAGCCCGGUAAUACAGAGGGUGCGAGCGUUAAUCGGAUUUACUGGGCGUAAAGCGUGCGUAGGCGGCUUCUUAAGUCGGAUGUGAAAUCCCUGAGCUUAACUUAGGAAUUGCAUUCGAUACUGGGAAGCUAGAGUAUGGGAGAGGAUGGUAGAAUUCCAGGUGUAGCGGUGAAAUGCGUAGAGAUCUGGAGGAAUACCGAUGGCGAAGGCAGCCAUCUGGCCUAAUACUGACGCUGAGGUACGAAAGCAUGGGGAGCAAACAGGAUUAGAUACCCGAGUAGUCCCUGUCUCUUAUACA
rnacentral:rRNA from 1 species